UCAGUGGGGAGGGGGUCCUUAUAAAACUUAAUUGUGGGCCGGCACCGCGGCUCACUAGGCUAAUCCUCCACCUUGCCACGCCGGCACACUGGGUUCUAGUUCCUGUCGGGGUGCCGGAUUCUUUCCCGGUUGCCCCUCUUCCAGGCCAGCUCUCUGCUGUGGCCAGGGAGUGCAGUGGAGGACGGCCCAAGUGCUUGGGCCCUGCAUCCCAUAGGAGACCAAGAGAGGACACUCAAUGAGGAAAGGUUCAUGGAUUUCCUGUGAGGGGCUUGCUACCAGUGAAUGACGACAAAACAACCAACCAACCAACCAAAAAAAUACUAUGAGGUUUCAGGUCACAUGACUCUGCUGGACCUGCAAGUGACUGGAACGUGGCAGACAGUUGACACAUGUUGAAAUACAUUUUCAUCAUUUAUUUUAAGAUAAGAAGAAAAAGAAAACCCAAACAAUAUUUUGGAAAUAAAGGGAUCCAAUUUUAUGGCAGCGGUAAG